CCAAGCAAUGUAACUAAAGAGGAAAAGUGAAAAAGGCAAGGAACAAUUUUUCCCUCAGCCUCCAGAAGGAAUGCAGUUAUACCUGCACCUUGACUUUAGCCCUGUAAGAGCCACCUUGGACUUCUGACCUCCAGAACUAGUUCACUGAUGAGCCAGUUCAUUGUUGAUGCAGCAAAGCACCUGCAUAUGCUUAGAACUUUAGAUUGCUGCAAGAGAAGGUGUGAUCACAGAUUCAGAAAUACUUCACCAGGAUGAAAACAGACAAGAUGAGCCAAAGAGCUAGAAGUCUUGGUCCACCACACUGCAGUUCUGUGAUAUCAUUGGUCCAGAGAGGGAUCUCUCCCCUAGGAUGUACUAACCCUCUUUGUUCAUUGACUCUGGAAACUCCUUCUUUAGAAACCCCCUCUUUUAUAUCCAGGAAUGCUUUGGGCUGCAGGAGUCUAUUUUUAUCAAGCAGGGGUCUAUUUAUUAAAAAGUAGAAAAUACUAAGUGACUACAAGUCUUUGUUCAGCGGUUCUGUGACAGCAGCUGCAAUGUCUCCAUGAUUUUCUUGGGCUUUCUUCAUGGCUAUAU